AAAAAAAUAAAAGACGCUUGUUUCUAAGAAUAGAGUCUUGAGUAAGAAAACCCUAGUAGCAUCUGUUUGGCAGCAAUCUCAGCAUAGUUCAGAGCUCUCAGCAUUUAAUCUGUGUAUUCUCAAAACAAAGAAAGCACAUGUGUAACUAGAAACGAUCUCAACUAUAUCUCUAUUUUCUACGUUACUCGAAUAUGUUGCUUAAAUAUCAGGUAUGCCCACCUGCUCGAGCUGAUUUUUUCCGUCUCUAAGUAUGAUAUGUUGUUUGUUUUGUGCAAUUUAUACCUUUGCUUGUUGAUAUAUUCCUUUUCUUUUGAACUAGCUGGUCGUUCUUUUAAAUAUGAAAGUUUGUGGUAUGAUAAGAUCCAAACUAAGAAUGGGAUUAUUCCUAAGAGAAUAGUGCGUUUCUAAUUGUUCUGGAAACAGAGGUACUCGAAGCUAAAUGAACUAAAAUAGUGUUUGAGAGACUACAGAGAGAGAGAGAGAGAGAGUUGUAUUAAACAUGAAUUACAAGUGAAGUAUUUUUCUGAUUUUUAGUCGAGCAGUGAUAGAAAGUAGUUGCAGUUGUUCAACUGAUCCAUGUGCGGCAUCACGUGCCACUAGUUCCUAACAACUUUCUAUCUAGCUAAAAAAUUGCAGUUGCUAUUGCACUAUUCUGAAGUUAUCUAAUAUAAAUAGAUCAUAUCAUAGUGUAUUGUGUAUGUCUAAAGAAUCAAUUAUAUUUUACAAUCAAAUUCUUCCGUUCUUGUCUAACUGAAACUAUGUUUACUGUCUACUAUAAUCUUAGGUAUGCCGCCUCUUUCGCAAGUUUUAUUAAGUUUCAUCUCUAAUUCUGCUUGUUUGGUUUCUUUGUAUACUAUUGUUGCUAAUGUUCUGAUAGUUGCUAGAGUGGUACUAAAAUUGAGAAAUCUAUCGUGAAUAACAACUGAAUCUGGGUGUAGCUCGUCGCACCAGACUUGCCUAGUGCGGGUUACCUCUCCUAUGUGGUUUGCCAGCUAUUGCAUAGGAGCGGGUGUUUUACCAUGUGCGCACCCAAAGGGUAGCGACCGUGGAUUUUCCUUGUCAUUAAAAAAAAACAACUCAACAAUUGUUCAACAUUUACGGCAAAUAGAGCAGGCGGAAAGAGUUGUUGUAGUUGUUAAAACUGAUCCACAUGGGUAGUAACGUGCCAUUAAAUCCUGAGAGAUUUCUAUCUAACUAAAAUAAAUUAGGAAUUUCAAUCAUUAAUUUCAUUUAUUGCUUGAUGGCAUGAAGUUUCAUUUCUAGCCGCUUUCUUUGUAUUUGGUGUGGCUCAGCCUCUCCGGGGAAAAUUAAAUAUAUUAAGUGGGCAGUCAUAUUAUUUAAUGAUAAGCAUAUAUAUAAAAACAUAUAGCAAAGACAAGAAUGAGAAACUCUUUUUCUAGUACAUUUAUUAUGCCUUAUAGUUUGUCAACAAACCUCUGGAACAAUUUAACCUCCUCUUCUUCCUCAUAAUCGUGGAGUUCUGCUAUUUCGAGCAUCUAACAAGAACAGAAUAUUGUAGUAAGAAAAUGGGAGCAGGAAAUAGGAAAAAAAACAGGAAAAUAUAAGAGGUUAGUAACUGAAGAAUGUAGUUUAAAGCACAACAACACCCAUAUUGCUUCUGUGGAAAUUUCUUCACUUUCCUCCACAAGAGUUUGUAUUGUCUCUAGUUUCUUUUGGAGCAUGAUAAUUCCUCUAUGGAGGUCUUCCUACUCACUAGUAACACCAUUCAGAUUUCUCUAUUAUUAUUCACUUAUGCUCCUUUUGCUAACAAUAUCAUCAUACUUGGUAAUAUCAAUCUGUAAGUUCUCACUGUAACAGCGCUAAACAUCAUAAUUAUCCUAAAUAUAUAAUUAAUUAUUUGAUUAAUAAGAUGGAGGGGUAUUUUGGGGAGAGAGGACCGACAUUGGGCUCUUGAAGUGAAGUCUUGCUCCACCUAAGUUCAAACCUAGGUGCAACCAAUGAAUUAAAGUGGUUUUUUAUUUAAGCUAUUGAAUUAAUGUAAUUAAUUAAUAAUGAUUAUUCAUUAUCUGAUUUAAAGUAAAAUAAAAAUCAAAUUUUUAUUAAAUAAACAAAACCUUAUUGACUAAGUUCUAAAACUAGACUCCUAAGCCUCCUAGAACUCCCACUCUCUCACGUUUAUCUCUCCACUCUCACGCUCAAUCUCUCUUAUUCUUUCUCACAUUUUUUCUCUGCCAAAAUAAUAUACAAAAGCAGAAAAAAACCAAGUUCUUCACCCUAGAAGAACUCACACGAAAUAAUAAGAAAACAAACGUUAAUCUCACACUAGGCUAAGGGAGGUUGUCAUUCGAGAGGAGUUGAUAUUGAGGAGGCCUAAACGUGUGCUUGGGUGAAGUUUUUGGGAAGCAGGUCAAGAUUUUAACGUCAAAAAGGUAUGGGUUCUCUUCCCUCUUGGUCGCUUUCCAAAGACACCCCUUAAGGUUCAGACGAAUCUAUUCCAAAAACUAGGAUUGUUCCCCGUUGCAUGUCCCUGUCACUAGCUCCCAUUGAAUCAUAGGUUGGUUAUGUUUGCUGGUAGAAAACUAGGGAUGAAACGUGUUUUCAUGAUGACUAUGUGUUUAUAUGUAUGUUUAGAAUUAUGUGACUUAUGUUGAUGUUUCCAAAAAUAUAAUUAUGUGUGUAUGUGUGUGUUGUCGUGGCUAUUGUUCAUGGUUUAGGACUUGAAAUUGCAUGAUAGUUCUUUAUAUUUCAUGUACACAUGUUGAUGUAAAUGUGAUGUUCAUAUGGGUUGAACUGUGGCUGAUUUGAGGGAUAAUCGCUUGUCUAAACGAAUCCAUCAAAACACACCAAAUACGUUCUAAAUGCACUACGAAAUUCCCCUAAGAACUAAGGUGUAAUUUGAUGAAAGGAUGCUGAAAAAUUAAAAGAAAACUUGCAGCUUCUAAAGAUGAAUUUCGGUCAGCAAAGAGGGUUCAAAAUGUUGAAAAAAAUGAAUUAAAACAAGUGAGGUCAUGGAGGAUUGAACUCGUGACCUCACCAUGUUAAAAACCAUGAAAAUAAAGAAGUUAAAAUAAAUGUGCUGAAUGGGAUUCGAACCAUGGUAUUAGCUUGAAAAUGUAAGUUAAAACAAAAAAAUAAGAAAUAAGAGGAGUGAGAUUCGAAUCCACUACCUCUUAAUCAGAUUUAAAGAGGAGAAUAAAAGAAAAAUAAAGGGGGAGGCAUGUGGGAAUCGAACCCACGACCUUUAAGGAAGAUUAAGGAGGAGAAUAAAAAAAAUCUAAAGGGGGAGGCGUGUGGGAAUUGAACCCACAACCUCUUAGGCAGAUUAAGGAGGUGAAUAAAAGUAAAAUCAAGGGGGAGGCUUGUGGGAAUCGAACGCACGACCUCUUAGGCAGAUUUAAGGAGGAGAAUAAAAGAAAAAUAAAGGGGGAGGCGUGUGGAAAUCUAACCCACGACCUCUUAAUUAGAUUUAAGGAGGAGAAUAAAAGAAAAAUAAAGAGAGGUUGUUGGGCUUUUAUCCCAUAACCUCAUAGACAACUCGAAAUAGACAAGGAGAAAUAGAUAAAAAAUAAAUAAAUAAAAGGGGAUGUGGGGCUUUGAUCCCACAACCCCUCGGCCAAGAUAAAGAAUUUUCAAAUGAUAGAACUAAAAAGGAAAUAGUGAUGUUAGGGCUCGAUCUAGGGUCCCAAUGACACGUGGAUUAGAAUAAAUAAAAAGAAAAAUGUAAAGUGUUAUCCAAGGGAUUUUAAAUUGGGUUCCCUUGCCCGAAUUCCGUACAUGAAUUAAAUAUUCAAGAAUAAUGCUGCCUACUGAGAUCGAAAUUGAGAUCUUGGCAUAAAUACAAGAUGCAUAAGUCUUGUACUACAUAAUCUUCGAAGAUAUGAAUUAUUUAAACAAACGAUGAAUGAAGCCUCAUGACUUGUAUGUAUAGACCCAUAAGUCUAGCAUACGUUUAAAAUAAGUCAACCUAAGAUGUAUGUAAUGAAAUGAUGUAACCCUAGAAGGGUUAAGUAAGAGGGUAACACACUAAAUGUCCAUGUCCGUUGGCACAUAAUGAAAUGAACAAUGAAAUGAUGAAAUGAACAAAGAAAUGAUGAAAUGAACAAUGUAAUUAUGAAACCCUAUAAGGGUUAAGUAUGAGUGUGAAACACACUAAAUGUCCAAUUGCAUUGGCAUAUGAUGAAAUGAACAUUCACGUAAAAUGGGGUGCGUAAUUAUGAAGAGAAAAUUUACUAAUGUUAAUGAACGUGGUGACAACAUGAUAUGAGGCUUAUGUGAAAGAUGAGAGCAAUCUUAAAUGAUCCUAAGUAAAUGUUACCAAAACGUACUCACCUAUGAGAGUGUAAAGUUAAUGAAGAGACUUGUCUCUAUGAACACUCUAAUGAAAGUAUUGAGAUUAACACAUUGAAUACUAAUGAUGAGAUGAGAAAUCAUCUAUUGAGAUAUGAUGUUCUCAUACUAGAAGCCAACUUCCGUGACGUAUGCGUUAAAUAUAAUGAAACUUUAUAAUGAGAAUCGAUAGACUAGCUAUGAGCGGUGCUUCCUUCUUUCGGAAGGGCGGAGGUUCAUGUAACUCUCAUUAGAUCAGACUGUCCGGUAUGUCGGGUAUAGGUCUCCUUAUAUCUCCUAGUAUUCGAACCUAUACUGCCAAUAUAGGGAUCUGGCGGGGUUCAAUCCCCAUGUACGCUAGCAUGUUUUGGGUAACUUUGGCUGGUGAUUCCACCUUUUUCGGUGUGAGGUUUCAUGACACUGGAUUUCAUGAUGCUCACAUGAUCUUUUGGGUUAAAGUUAAAGUUUAUAAUGAAUGAAUGAGGUCAGCCUCAAAUGAUGCACAUAACAAAAUGAGCGAUACCAAAGGUGUUAGGAUAGGAUAAUCAAAAGGUGAGUUAGAUUCAAGUAAUGACAUUAGGUCAUUCUUCACCAUUGCACAACGAACCCGAUGAAAGGCUUAAACUACAUCCUAGGUAUAGCUUGUGUUUACUCUGGCCCAUAAAUGAAAUAAAAUGAAGUACGUAUGAAUGAACAAUACAUUAAGAUUCCGGUAAACAUUCAAGUGUUCUUCUUGCUACUUUGCCAUUUUGAUUUUGUUCGAGUAAAAGUUGGAUCAACUUGUUUGCAUUGCUACCAUUCCUAAUCUAUUUAACCGGUUAGUAUUCGGAAUUAGCAUUUACAUUAUUUUUUAUAUUCGUACAUUUGUGUGAGCUCAUUGUUCUAUUCUUUUGUUAUGUAUAAGUUGUUAAACAAUUGCAUAUUGUCUCACCUUGAGUAAUAAAUGUGAUUACUUGUGUAGUUAUUUGAUUGCUUUAACAGGUUUCAAACUUGAAAUUCAAGUUGAAGAUGAACCAUGAAGAAAGAUUUAUUUGUUUAUUUGAAUCUAAAUUUUUUUUCUUAUUUUAUUUAUUCUAAUGUUGUAAUAUUUGUAACUCUAGAGCUCUCAUAUAUAAAUUUAUUUGGAGAUCGUCUAUGGGAGGGGGAUUUACAUGCCUACUUGUUCAUUGUAAUUUUUUUUAAAAAAGUUAGAAAUCAUGCCUAUAGGUUUAUCUUUAACCACCUAGAAUUAUUGUUUGUAGGUGUUAUAAUCUAACCAAUUUUCAAUUUGUCUGGCGCUUUUGUUAAUAAGUCUUAAAAAAAAUUAAUAACUAGAUUCCAUUAAUUUUGAAUGUUAAAAUCAAAUCAUAAUAAUUUAGUAGGCUAAUUAGGUGUUUAAAAAUGUUAUAACUUUUUAGCAUUAUCUUGUCAUGUAGAAACCAGGCCUAACGAUUAAUUUGUUCAUAUCAUUUAGAUUUACAAAAUCAUGCAUGCAUGUGUUACUAAAAUUAGUUAAUAUUUGUCCCUUUUUAAGAUCUCUGCACUCAUGAUGCAAUAUGUCGUUUCUAAAAUAGUAAUAUUAAAUUAGAAUCAUUUCAUGCACUUAACAAAUUACUUAGCUUUUAAAAUAUAUUUCAUAGUAAAACUUUUGCAUUUAAUAAAUUUACCACCUUAAUAUUCUACUAGUUUUUUUUCUUACUUACAAAGUUUUGCAAACAUAAUUUUCUUAAAAGUCAUUAUUCAAUCUUUUUUUAAAACUUUGGAUUGAUUAUGACAUUGUUUAUUUUUGAAAUAAAUUAUAAGCACUAUCUCCUAACCUAUCGUUAGUGGGAAAGUCAAAGGAACUAUGAGGUCUAGUUCCAAUUUUUAAAAUUAAACCGACGCGUCCUUGGAAGUACCACCUACCCAUGAAUUUCAAAAGGAAUUAUGUGUAUUUAUGUGCAUACAUGUAAACUAAAUCUUUUAAAUCAUUUACAAAAACAUAAACUAUUUUUUAGACCGACCUCAAAUCAAAAUUGUUUCUAUGGUGGAGGAGCGCGAUCAACAAUAUCGUGGC
rnacentral:lncRNA from 1 species